rnacentral:rRNA from 1 species
CCUACGGGGGGCAGCAGUGGGGAAUAUUGGGCAAUGGGCGAAAGCCUGACCCAGCGACGCCGCGUGCGGGAUGAAGGCCUUCGGGUUGUAAACCGCUUUCAGCAGGGAAGAAGCGAAAGUGACGGUACCUGAAGAAGAAGCACCGGCUAACUAUGUGCCAGCAGCCGCGGUAAUACAUAGGGUGCAAGCGUUGUCCGGAAUUAUUGGGCGUAAAGAGCUCGUAGGUGGUUCGUUACGUCGGAUGUGAAAACCUGAGGCUCAACCUCAGGCCUGCAUUCGA